GACGAACGCUGGCGGCGUGCCUAACACAUGCAAGUCGAGCGGAGUCGAUCGACGGAAGCCUUCGGGCGGAAGAUGGUUGACUUAGCGGCGGAUGGGUGAGUAACGCGUGGGCAACCUGCCUCGAAGACCGGGAUAACAGCCCGAAAGGGCUGCUAAUACCGGAUGUGGUCAAAGAUCCGCAUGGAUUUUUGAUUAAAGGGGAAACCCGUUUCGAGAUGGGCCCGCGUCCUAUCAGCUAGUUGGUGAGGUAAAAGCUCACCAAGGCGACGACGGGUAGCCGGCCUGAGAGGGUGACCGGCCACACUGGAACUGAGACACGGUCCAGACUCCUACGGGGGCAGCAGUGGGGAAUCUUCCACAAUGGGCGAAAGCCUGAUGGAGCGACGCCGCGUGAGCGAAGAAGGCCUUCGGGUUGUAAAGCUCUGUCUGGAGGGACGAAGGAAGUGACGGUACCUCCGGAGGAAGCCACGGCUAACUACGUGCCAGCAGCCGCGGUAAACGAUACUCGUA
rnacentral:rRNA from 1 species